rnacentral:rRNA from 1 species
AUCAUGCCGCGUGCAGAAGAUGCCCUAUGGGUUGUAAACUGCUUUUAUUUGGGAAUAAACCUCUUUACGAGUAGAGAGCUGAAGGUACCAAAUGAAUAAGCACCGGCUAACUCCGUGCCAGCAGCCGCGGUAAUACGGAGGGUGCAAGCGUUAUCCGGAAUCAUUGGGUUUAAAGGGUCCGCAGGCGGUCUUAUAAGUCAGUGGUGAAAGCCUAUUGCUCAACAAUAGAACUGCGAUUGAUACUGUUAGACUUGAAUUAGGUCGAAGUGGGCGGAAUAUGACAUGUAGCGGUGAAAUGCUUAGAUAUGUCAUAGAACACCGAUAGCGAAGGCAGCUCACUAGGCCUGUAUUGACGCUCAUGGACGAAAGCGUGGGGAGCAAACAGGAUUAGAUACCUUGGUAGUCCACGCCGUAAACUAUGAUUACUCGUUUUCAGCGAUAUACAGUUGGAGACUAAGCGAAAGUGAUAAGUAAUCCACCUGGGGAGUACGAUCGCAAGGUUGAAACUCAAAGGAAUUGACGGGGGCCCGCACAAGCGNA